UCCAUAAGCACAGACGAAGGAUAUCAAUGAUCUGGAAACAUUCUGUAUAGAGGAAUGGUCUUAGAUCCCUCCCAUGUGUUCUCCAUUCUCAUCAAGCAUUUUAGAAAAAUACUCGUAUCAUUAUCCUCGAGCUUGCAAGGUGAGGGUACUUUUAAAAAUAUUUUUUUUUCUUACUUGUUAAACAAAAUCUCUUUCUCUGAUUAAUUGUGUUAGUAUAAAAUAACAAUUUGUCCGUUUUUUAGCAUACAAUAUAGCUCAGUACUUGUAUUAUUUAUUUAUUGUAUUUUUGCUAAUAUUUAUCAAGGGAUCAAAUCAUUUGGGACCCCACUGUAUAUAUAAUAAUAAUAUAUGCCAUUUAGUAGACGCUUUUUUUUGCAUCAAUUUCACAUUCCUUUGUAUAUAGACUUCAAUGUAACAGUUUGAAUGCAACGGUUAGUAAUGGAACAGUUUGAAAGCAACAGUUUCAGCAUUAUUCUACUAUUACGCACGACAGUUUGCCCAAACUAUUUUGAGGUCUCCAAAGUGUACAUAACCUAGCCCCCGAUUGGGGCGCAUCUAACCUAAACCUGUCCACGUUGCUCCCCUGCACCUAUAAUCUCUCCAACUCCAACGAAACCGAAAGAAACCAAAAAAGUGAUUGAUUGAUCGUGGAAAUUGUCCUCGACUUGAUGGGACUGGAGUUUGCUGAAAUCCUAAGCCCACCGCUAGUAACCCAUGACAGAGAGGGAAACUAGAGACGCCAAUAUGAUUUCGGCGAUGUUGGGUAACCACUGAACUUCGGGAAAAUCACUGCACAUCCUGGGUCCGCUUGCCAACGCGUUGAGCCAUGAAAGCGUUUUUAAACACCCAAAUAGGCUACUAACCUUUUGGAUACAAUGUACACAGCCCGAUCACGAAUAACUCCCGCAGCUCCUGCUGGCUCCCGAGGACACGGAUUUGCUUGUCUGAAGAUCAUCCUAUAGAAAAUGAUAAAUGUAUGUGAACGGGCCUGUGCUCCGUAGCGUCGUGGUGUUUCUGCUGUUGGGUGUCUCCUACAGUAAGCGCAGGUGCAACUACACGGAUAUACUCAGCACGUACAGAGAACUAAUCUUCGUUGAACUUCAGAAUUUGCUGCAGCACGUGUUGCGCUCCAUCCAUGGUAUGACGGAGCAGUUCCUGUGCCAGGGCUGGGACCAGGGACACGGGCGGGGCAGCAGACAGCAGAGGGGCAUGAAGAAGCCAGUGGAGAUGAUGGCAGUGCUGAUCAGACAGAACUGCAGGCACACUGACCUGGUGAGGAGACAGAAGAGAACAGCGCCGUGUGUGACUGCCCAGAGGACGAAGGGAAAGAAUAGGACGAGGAUGAGACUCAUCAGGGCACUGAUAAACUGUUGGCAGAAGCUGCAGAGUUUGUACACACCCACAAAAUAAUUUGAAAAAAAAGUUAUAUUUUUAUCAAAAUUGUUUGAAAAAAGCAUUUAUGGAUUGUGUUUGGUUCUUAUUUGGUAGAGUAGAAUGACAGUUUGUAUGUCAGGAAUGGCCCUCUGUUUAUGACCUUUUACUUCUUGUCUGUACAGUCCCACAUGUAUAAGCUAUAGGUCACCAUAGAUCAGGGAUGGGCCACUUUGAUGUGGGCCGGGGCCACAAAGAAAACAAACUGAUCAUGCUUACUAUAAGUUUAGAUAGCUAGCCGCUAGACUAACUUGCCAAUCUAAAAAUGUUUUAAAGACUUGGGCUAAUUAAGUGACUGCUGAUGCACAACCACAUGUCGAAAUUGCACCUUGUGUAAUCUAUUAUUCUAACUCUUAUCAGUAAGUUGAGACCCGACUGAGUUGCCCCAUUAAUUAUGGUUGUUAGAGGAUGGUUUUACAAUGCAGUGAAAAUAUUUACUUGUAAUACCUUGGUGCACACACAUUUUAUAACUCUUAGCUAUCUCACAAUCCAGAUAUUGUUUUUGUGAAACCGAUAGAUACAUUUGCUGUUCUAUGAAAUGUAUUCAAGAUGCCCACUGAUAAAGGUUUCAUAAACUGCACCAUUGGUUGUUUAUUCCUGUAAUGAUCAAAACAUGGGCCAUUACUAGAUACCUAUUGUUUAGUUCUCUUGUUAUAAGAAAUUGUUAUCAAAAUGGACAAAAACAAGAAACUUCCCAAGUUGCAUAACUUCCAGAACGUUUCUCAUUCUAGGUUUUUGUUUCUGUGGGGAAAGAUAUUCCACAUGCACAGUCAUGUUAAUAUGAACUCUGUAGCACUGUUAGUGCUAUCCUGGAUCCUUGGGACGUCCAUACCAUAAACUUUUAUUUAAUUUUUUUAUUUAUUUAUUUCACCUUUAUUUAACUAGGUAGGGAAGUUGAGAACAAGUUCUCAUUUACAACUGCAACCUGGCCAAGAUAAAGCAAAGCAGUUUGACACAUAUAACAACACAGAGUUACACAUGGAGUAAAACAAACAUACAGUAGAAAAAUAAGUCUAUAUACAAUGUGAGCAAAUGAGGUGACAUAAGGGCAAUAAAUAGGCCAUGGUGGUGAAGUAAAUACAAUAUAGCAAUUAAAACACUGGAAUGGUAGAUUUGACAGUAGAUGAGUGUGCUAAGUAGAAAUACUGGGGUGCAAAGGAGCAAAAUAAAUAAAUAAAUAAAUACAGUAGGGGAAGUGGUAGUUGUUUGGGCUAUUUAUAGAUGGGCUACGUACAGGUGCAGUGAUCUGUGAGCUGCUCUGACAGCUGGUGCUUAAAGCUAGUGAGGGAAAUAAGUGUUUCCAGUUUCAGAGAUUUUUGUAGUUCGUUCCAGUCAUUGGCAGCAGAGAACUGGAAGGAGAGGCGGCCAAAGGAGGAAUUGGCUGCUGGCUGCUGGAGGGAGUAGUCGUGCUGUACUUCGCUCCGCGGGUAAUAUUACUUUUCAUUACAUUACAUUAUAACGGAAUGAUUUGAUUAGUGUAAUGUUAGCUAGCUAGCUACAUAGUGGUCUACAUAGUUGUCUUUGCAUCAAGGAUAAAGGUGUAGCUAAAGGUGUAGGUGUAGCUUUGAGAAACUAACAAGGUUAGCUAGCCAGCUGUACUCGUUCGUUCGCGCCGUUUUCUAAACGGCGUCAACACCACAACACCACAGCCACUGCUAGCUAGCCAACUUUACCAACUAGCAGUACUGUAGAAACUAAAUACAUUACAACGGAACGAUUUGAUUAGUGUAAUGUUAGCUAGCUACAUAGUUGUCUAUGUAUCAAAGAUAAAAGAUAAAGGUAAACGCAGCCACUGCUAGCUAGCCAACUCUAGCAGCUAGCAGUACUGUAUCAUUUUUAGUCAAUAAGAUUUUUGCAAUGUAAGCUUAACUUUCUGAACUUUCGAGUCGUGCAUUCCACUUGUGUAGCUAGCAGGACUGACUUUGUGUUAGCUAGCCAACGUUUAAUUACUUCUGCGUUAUGAAAGGAACUAGACACGGACACGAAUGAUCCAUUGGUAGUUUGUUGUAACCAAGUAUUGGUGCUAAACGUGUGUUAUUGGAUGCUAGCAUGCUAGUUAGCUACGGCGUCAUAGGACACGGUGCACUGGGUGGGUUUCACGGAAGAAUACUGUACCAAGUUAUCUAGCUGAAUAAACUAAGUUUGGGCCUGUUCCUGGAAACAUUGAACCACUGUAGUUUACAUCAAUUAUAAUUUUUAAAGUGGAAGUUGGAAGAGUUAGAUCUGAGUGUUUCAGUGAAAGGUUAGUGAGGGAGGCCCUGCUCUCUCGCUUCCCCAGUUGUUUAGUUAAUUUUCAU
rnacentral:lncRNA from 8 species